AGGUAUCUGCCUGACUCCCAGAGACAAAGACAGAGCAUGUGACCAGGGCAGCCAAUCCGCUGGCGCCAGGGGCGUGGGACAAACCGUUGGGGACCAAGGGGAGGCAGAGAAAAGACAUGUAAUAGCGAGAGCUAGAACCAAUGUUUUUGGCUGACGUUAAAAAACACUAUCUGCAAUGUCUGAGGAGGACAGACAGACGGAAGGCUAAGGACAACAGACAGUUCCAAGCGGUGGAUGCUAGCUCAGGCACAUAGAGCACUGCCCUCCGAGGGACAUACUUGUGAUUGGACAAGGAGCUGUACCCAGGCCUGCAGACACUGGCCACGAGGGAUGCCUUUCUGCAAGGGAAGUGACUAGGAUUAGUCCAAAAUGGAAUUCUGUAUUUAUAAAUUUGUGACCAAACUCUGCUCUUAGCUAUUCAGUCCUUUUGGCUUUUUAAAAGUUUUUUAAAAUGUUUAAA